ACUCAAAUGAAUUGACGGGGGCCCGCACAAGCAGCGGAGCGUGUGGUUUAAUUCGAUGCAACGCGAAGAACCUUACCUUGGCUUGACAUGCACCUGGUACUGACCCGAAAGGGGAGGGACCCGCGAGGGAGGGUGCACAGAUGCUGCAUGGCUGUCGUCAGCUCGUGCCGUGAGGUGUUGGGUUAAGUCCCGCAACGAGCGCAACCCUUGCCCUUAGUUGACUUCUCUAGGGGGACCGCCGGUCUAAACCGGAGGAAGGUGGGGAUGACGUCAAGUCAGCACGGCUCUUACGCCGAGGGCUACACACACGCUACAAUGGCCGGUACAACGGGCAGCGAAGGGGCGACCUGGAGCCAAUCCCACCAAAGCCGGUCUCAGUUCGGAUCGCAGGCUGCAACUCGCCUGCGUGAAGUCGGAGUUGCUAGUAACCGCUGGUCAGCACACAGCGGUGAAUACGUUCCCGGGCCUUGUACACACCGCCCGU
rnacentral:rRNA from 1 species